rnacentral:rRNA from 1 species
AUGCAUUGGGUUAAAUGGAAGGAUCUCACUAUACCAAAGGUUUGUGGUGGUAUAGGGUUCAAAGAUCUCGUACUCUUCAAUAAAGCUAUGUUAGUGAAGCAAGGGUGGCGAUUGAUUUGUAAUCCCGACUCGUUGUGUGCUCAGGUAUUGAGAGGUAAAUAUUAUCAUGAAGGUAAUCUAUUGACAACCGAAAAUAAGAGGAAUGCUUCUCAUACUUGGAGAGCGAUUUUAUAUGGUCGUGAAGCUCUAAACUUGGGCCUAAUUAGACGAAUUGGUGAUGGUGCAAGCAUGAGAAUUGGGGAUGAUCCUUGGAUACCAUCAAACCCAACUUUAAAACCAAUUGUAAGGCUUCCUUCAUCGGAUAUUACCCUUGUGGAGGAAUUGAUGAACCCGGUUACGGGAGAAUGGGAUGAAGAAGUAUUGGAAACAAAUUUUAUUCUGGUCGAUGCCCAGGCUAUUAUGAGAAUUCCAACUGGUCGCCUAGAUGGAGACUUGUGGGGAUGGCAUUUGGAAAGGAACGGUAAUUUUUCAGUCCGCUCUGCUUAUAGGGCGCUUCUUGUAGCAAUACUACUAUCAAUCCAGUCAUGUGCUCAAGAGGAUCUGAACAAGUUUUCUGGAAGAAGCUAUGGAAGAUGA